rnacentral:rRNA from 1 species
GAUGAACGCUGGCGGCGUGCCUAAUACAUGCAAGUCGAGCGAACAGACGAGGAGCUUGCUCCUCUGACGUUAGCGGCGGGCGGGUGAGUAACACGUGUAUAACCUACCUAUCAGACUGGGAUAACUUCGGGACACCGGCUCUAAUACCGGAUAAUCUAUUGAACCGCGUUGUUCAAUAGUGAAAUUCGGUUUUUGUGUCACUUAUCGCUGCAUACGAGCCGCAUGAGCUAGUUGGUACGGUACAGGCUUACCAAGGCUACGAGGCGUAGCCGACCUCAGGGAGGGAUAGGCCACACGGGAGCUGAGACAGGGUCCAGACGCCUACGGGAGGCAGCAGUAGGGAAUCGUACGCAACGGGCGAAAGCCUGACGGAGCAACGCCGCGUGAGUGAUGAAGGUCUUCGGAUCGUAAAGCUCUGUUAUGAGGGAAGAACAAAUGUGUAAGUAACUAUGCACGUAGUGACGGUACCGAAUCAGAAAGCCACGGCUAACUACGUG